rnacentral:rRNA from 1 species
AACGUAGGGGACAAGCGUUAUCCGGAUUUACUGGGCGUAAAGCGCCCGUAGGCGGCCUGACAAGUUGGACGUGAAAGCUCCUGGCUUAACUGGGAGAGGCCGUUCAAAACUGUCAAGCUAGAGUCUGGAAGAGGAGAGCGGAAUUCCCGGUGUAGUGGUGAAAUGCGCAGAUAUCAGGAAGAACACCCGUGGCGAAAGCGGCUCUCUGGAACGGUACUGACGCUGAGACGCGAAAGCGUGGGGAGCGAACAGG